GUAGAAGACAGAUUAAAUCUCAGAAAGUACCAAAAUAUCAAUCUCCAACUCCAUCAAGACCUAGUCUUGUUUGCACAAUAUACUGUGUAUUGAUAGCAUUUCACUGCAUACCCAAAGUAACAGGGCUGUCAUUUACACUCAAUGCGGGUGGGGCUCCCCUGUGUAGUAAACAGACAGUUUAGCUCAUUGAGCACCAAACACAG